rnacentral:rRNA from 1 species
UGGGGAAUUUUGCACAAUGGGGGAAACCCUGAUGCAGCGACGCCGCGUGAUUUAGAAGGCCUUCGGGUUGUAAAAAUCUUUUCUAUGGGAAGAAAAUGACAGUACCAUAGGAAUAAGGACCGGCUAAUUACGUGCCAGCAGCCGCGGUAAUACGUAAGGUCCGAGCGUUGUCCGGAAUCAUUGGGCGUAAAGGGUACGUAGGCGGGUAAGCAAGUUAGAAGUGAAAUCCUGUAGCUCAACUACAGUAAGCUUUUAAAACUGCUCAUCUUGAGAUAUGGAAGGGAAAGUGGAAUUCCUAGUGUAGCGGUGAAAUGCGCAGAUAUUAGGAGGAAUACCGGUGGCGAAGGCGACUCUCUGGUCUGUAACUGACGCUGAGGUUCGAAAGCGUGGGUAGCAAACAGG